UGAUGAUGGUGAGGACAACUAAUAAGUAGAGAUUUGAACCUAUCCCAAGCUUGGUAUAAAUUCUCUCCAUACUUCUAUUUAAAGCUCAAGAUUUCGGCUCUUAAUUU